UCUGUAAACGCGCCCUUUGCUCAGCGCUGCCAAGACUUGGUUAAAGUCACUGAGGAGUUUCCCGCAAAGACACAGAGAAACACGUGGAUAUGCAGGCCAGGAUCGCUCCAAGCGUCCCCGCGGCCGCUCUGCUCCCCCUCCGGCUCACCGGCGUCCUGUGAGGUGAGCAUGGGGGCCCCUCCUACAGAUGGGGAAACUGAGGCUCGGAGAACUCGAGCCACGCGGGGAGGAGGGCUCGGGGGCCACACCGCUGGCUGACCCGAGGCUCCACUUUAAAGGGAGCUCCCUUCCUCCGGCCCGUUCACCGCGCGGUAACCGAGCACCGCCGGGGCAGGCGCGGGAGGCGACAGGAAGGUGGCACGAUGGCGCUGCCGGGCCGGCCCGGGGCUCGCGGAGGAGCGGAGACGGCUCCGGCGGAGGUUCGGGGAGGCCGCUAGGACGCGGGACCGUCCCGCGCGCGGCUCCCGCCACUCACCUGUGGGGUCCACAGCGUCGCACGCCUCAGGCACUGAGGCCGCCACUGGGCUUCCGGGCGCCGAGAUGUUGCUAUCAACAUGCGCUAGGAGCCACGCCCCCUGGCCGAGCUAGAAAGUCUCCCCAAGCUUCGCGCGCUAACUCAAAAAGACCUUGCGCAGAACGAUGUCGGCCGGGUGUGUGGAUUCCACCUGUGAAUACGCGUGCGUAGUGGGGGUAGCUGCGCCUCUUGGGCCUGAGCUCACGCGCUGUAUCCACGGCAAGGACUGCGUGUGUGCGAUGCGAGGCCAAUUAUUGCUGCCAUGGAGGCUUGUGCCCUAGUGGGGAGCCCGCGGAGAGCAAUUACAUUGAUGGUCCUUUCUCCGGCAACUAUUUAUUGAGCGUCCACUGUAUGCCAGACACUGCACUGGGUGCUGCUACCUAAGCGAGAAUGACCGAAGCAGCCCAGCAGGGAAGGCCAGAUCGCCAAGGAGAGGGUCUCUGAGGUCUCCACGUUUCCCCCCGCACCUAACACACCGGCCGGCACGGAGAUGUCUGCGGACCGAACCGCCGAGGGGAGACGCGCCGUCGCUGCCUUCCGGGAUCGGGCUGCGGGAGACCAGGCGGCAGCGCUGCCGGGAAGGGAACCGACGACGGGGCCGGUAGACCGCGCUCUGGACGCCCCCGGUGGGGCGGGGCCGGCGGCGCCAGGGCUGUGGCCAUGAGCUGGGGGCCAGGGGCCAGGGGCCCGGCGGGGCGCGCACCUUCCCACGGCCGCUCAGAUGGUGGCGCCUGGGGGUGGAGGAGACCCUGCAGAAGCUCGCGCUGCGCCGGAAGAAGGCGCUGAACGCCCAGGAGAUGGAGCCGGACUGGCUGCGCAGACGGCGGGCGGCGCCAUCGACCCCGCCGUGUUCAAAGAUCCGGCGUGGGCGGGGCUGCGAGCUCGAUGACCCCAAACACUUUGCUUUCCUCCCCCUGCCCUUGUUGGAGUCCCGGAGGCCCAGGGCAGAGUUGGGUCUUGAGGGAGGCGACCACGCCCGCCCGCUGUCGCUGAGCCGCCUGGCCUGGGCGAGGAGGGCUCCCUGCGCACGGGUCUGUCUCUGCAGGAUCCCAGUGGCCCUGCUGAUGCUGCACGUGGCGCCCCUCGCCGUCCUCCAGAUGCUCCGUCCGUGUGCCGAGCAGAGGCUGCCGAGCGUGCCCCAGGCCCCUGUGGCUGUGUCUGCCCCCAUCGAGCCUGCCUGAGUCAAGAGGUCAGAGUUGGGCCCGGUGCUCCCCGCCCGCCCCUGUGGCCCGGGCAGCUAGGUGGCAGGGGUAGGGAGGGGGCAGCGCCGGGCACGGGGUGGCCUUGGCCCUCAGUGGACAGGCCUUUCCGUCCGUCUUGUCCCAGGGCCCGCUGGGCCAUCCAAGGGCUGGCCCCUUGGGCUCCAGUUGCCAGCUUCGGCCUGGCUGCGCCCUGCAGAGAGAACCUGCGGAUCGGGUGGACGCAGAGCGGGUGCCCCCGGGAGGCCGAGUAGGCUGGGCCUCAUCUGGGACAUUUGCUGCCCCAGCCUCUCCUCCCCUCUGCACUCCUACCUUCGUUCCACAAACCCGGGAAUAAGACUGCUUUGGUGCCUGUGCUCAUAGUUUAUCUGGCCUCAGGGAGCUGGGCAGGCAGAGGCCUUCCUGCCACCCCCUCACCUGUACUCCACUGGCCCCAAGUCCUGCUCUGGAGUCUGGCCAGAUGAGCUUCCCUCCUCGGGUGGUGGGGUGUGGGAUGGGAGUGAGCGUGGCAGCCCCUGGCUGCCUUGGACACUCAGGGUGCAGAGGCCGGAGUGGCAGAGCACUGGGCUCAGGUGUGAGGGGCCUCCUCACUCUCGAGGGCCAUGACUGGGGCAUGAACAGGUGCUGGUGACAAGGUGUCAUGGUGCAGCUCCAACUGCCUCCUCCCCAUGUGUCCCUUCUGCUCCCAGGUGCUAUCAGAAACCCUCUGACUUGCAGCCGAACCCCCUGGCUGGCUGCUUGGCCAGAAGCAUGGGGCUCUCUCAGACACCCGGAGAAGGGCUGACCUGUGGGUGGAGGACAGGCUGGGCCACUGUGGGUGGGAGAGCCAGGGCCCUGGGUCCCCACGUCCCCUGUCCUGUGCGGCCCUGGGUACUCGAGUGCAGGCCUCCUCACUGACCCAUGCUCUGUCUGCUCUCUCUGUGUCUCUCUGACCUCCAGGGCCUCUUUCUGCCAAGAACUGGAGCCUCUGCAGGCCCCUCCUUUUCCUGGGCCCCGGGCCUGCAGCCUCUGCGGUUCUGCUCCACUGCCCCACUGCCCUGCACUUGCCUCUCUCCUGGGCCCCUGGGUCCCUCCAGUUCUCUUGCUGCCCAUUCUCUCCUUUUACAGGUUGUGUUUAUUGGUUUAUCUCUGGGGGUUGGUGCCCUCUCUUGUUUCCAUGGAAACUGCCGUGGUCCCCAGAAAACCAGAGCAGCUUCGAGCAGCAAGGGCAGGACCCUGUGGGUCAUCCCUGCCAUCAGCUUAGAGACCAAGGACAGGAUUUCAGGGCUCGCUUUAUUAGAGACAACCUGCAGUCCUUCUGGAACAGGAUCAACACCCGCACCCCCUGGAGGCUAACUCAGCUGGGUGAGACUCGGCUCUGUAGAGGUGUCCCCAGCCCAGAGGAGGACAGCUGACCGAGGGGCAGGGAAGGGGCAGCAUGGUGUGCUGUGCAGAGCAAAGCCCUGGGUGUGAGAAACACCUCGACCUCUGAGAUGUUGUUGGCCAUUUGGGUGGGCAGCCUGAGCACAAACCGUGACUCUUCUUUUCUGCCUGGUUCCUGAGCUGAGAGUACGUUCCAGGUGUUUCCAGGGAUGUGUGAGGGAGGGCUGAGAUCCCACCUGUGCUCUGGCUUCACCCUCCUUCCCGCCCCUCCCCAUGUCACCCACCUGGAACUUCCAGGUGCCAUCUGGAGCUCGGGCCAGGGAGGAGUGGGGCAGGGCCAGGGGGCAGGUCAGGGGAGGGGUGGGUGGACUAGCGGCUGAGCUGAGGAAUUGAUGGGUGAGUUUCCAGAAGGAAGGAGAAACUGGGAACAGAGCCCUCCUCCCCGGAGGGGUGCUGGCACUCACUCACUGAGGACUCUGGGUGCCAGGCCAGCUCUAGCACUGGGGGCACAGUGGGACUGUGAGGUGGACAUGCUCUUGGUCCAGGGAGGGAGAUAGCUAGACAAACUGACAGUAACAGAUGGGAGGAGGCCAGUGCAGCUGGCCUUGCUGGAGCAGUAAGGGUUGAGCAGGCUGGGGGGCCCUGGGUGCCAGCUGCAGUGUCCUUGCCCUGCAGCCCUGCAGGUGGGAGGUGGGGAGGUGGCUGCGAGAGGAAGGGCAGGCGGGGAGGCAGUGCAGAGCAUGGAUCCAGUGGAUCCAGGCCAUUGGUGGCAGUGGGGCCUGAGCUGGGGGUGCGGGAAGAGGGAGAGAGUGGAGAGUCAGGAGGGGUGCCAUGGGAAUGGCGCUGGGAGCACUGGCAUAGAGGGGUUGGGAGGUCAGAGGGGGCUCUGAGAGAGGUAGGGAGGAAACCCCGAUCAGGGGCACAAGAGUGGAGCGCUGGGCUCCACAGGGUCGUUUUCUCCUCAAGUGCUCAGGCCUUGGGUCCUGCUGGACUGGGUGGCCAGUGGCCAGGAUUCCAGGACACAGGGGCCCUGGGGAGAUGCCUGGUCGGGUAGAGGGCAGCCUGGGGAGGGGUUUGAUGGGGAGGAGGGGAAGGGGAGUAUCAGAUGAGGGGCCAUGCCAGGAAUGCACUGUGGCCAAGAGGCCGAGGCCAGCAGACAAGACAGAUCUCUGAGGCCCCUGUUGCAGCAUCUAUGCACAGAGACCUUCCAGCUGUCUCAUUGAUGGCAGGAUCUGAGGUGGAGAAAAUAAAGAGUUGUCAGAGUGGCCCAACUGUGGGGACUGUGGUGGCCUAGGAGGACAAGGGGUUUGGGGCUGUAGGCACUCACUGGCCUUAGGUUUCCCACAGAAUCAGGGUGUGCACCUGCUCCAGGCCGUGGGCUGGAGCCCACUGAGGAGCUUGACUCUGUCUGGGUUCCUGACCCCUGGCCAUCGAGGUGGCCCGUGGGGAAUGUCACCGACUAGCUCACUCAUUUCUGCAUUUUCCCGCAGAAAAGGGGGAAGCAGAAGACCCCGGAAGCACCAAGGGGCAAUGCUUGUCAUGGGGGGACGUGGGUCACUGAGGAAAGAAAUUCAGUGGAGUGCUCCCUGUUGAAGUUCAGGAAACUACGUCUUAAAAGAUGUCCCUCCAGGACGUGGGGGAUGAACGUGGUGCGCGGAAGCCAUGGGCUUCUCAUGCAGCUUCGCUGUGCGAUGCGGGAGCCACAGGCCCCAGGCUGGUAUGGUGAGAGGCACUGGGCAUGUGGGCACCCGCCAUGUGCCUGGGUGCAGAGGGCUGGGUGCAGAGGGAACAUCACACCUCACGCGUGAUUCUUAUACUGAUCCCAUGUUGAAGUGAUAAUAUGUUGGAUAUUUGGGGUUAAUUAAAACAGAUUAUUUAAAUUAA